rnacentral:rRNA from 1 species
UACGUAGGGUGCGAGCGUUAAUCGGAAUUACUGGGCGUAAAGCGUGCGCAGGCGGUUCGUUAAGUCAGAUGUGAAAGCCCCGGGCUCAACCUGGGAACUGCAUUUGAAACUGGCGGGCUUGAGUGUGGCAGAGGGGGGUGGAAUUCCGCGUGUAGCAGUGAAAUGCGUAGAGAUGCGGAGGAACACCGAUGGCGAAGGCGACUACCUGGACCAGCACUGACACUGAGGCACGAAAGCGUGGGGAGCAAACAGG